rnacentral:rRNA from 1 species
UGCAUGCAGUCGAACGAGAGACCGGGCUUCGGCCCGUUAUCUAGUGGCGGACGGCUGAGUAACACGUGAGGAACUUGCCCUCCGGUGGGGGACAACCACGGGAAACCGUGGCUAAUACCGCAUGAUGUCACGUUUCAUAAGUGACGUGACCAAAGAUUUCGGUUGCCGGAGGAGGGUCUCGCGGCCUAUCAGCUAGUUGGUGAGGUAACGGCUCACCAAGGCGAUGACGGGUAGCCGGUCUGAGAGGAUGAUCGGCCAGAGGGGGACUGAGACACGGCCCCCACUCCUACGGGAGGCAGCAGCAGGGAAUCUUGCGCAAUGGGCGAAAGCCUGACGCAGCGACGCCGCGUGGGGGAUGAAGGUUCUAGGAUUGUAAACCCCUUUUGCUAGGGAAGAAGAUCUGACGGUACCCAGCGAAUAAGGCCCGGCCAACUACGUGCCAGCAGCCGCGGUAAAACGUAGGGGCCAAGCGUUGUCCGGAAUUAUUGGGCGUAAAGGGUGCGUAGGCGGCCCGGUCAGUCUCGUGUGAAAGCUCCCGGCCCAACCGGGAGAGGUCACGGGAUACUGCCGGGCUUGAGGAUAGCAGAGGAAGGUGGAAUUCCCGGUGUAGCGGUGAUAUGCGUAGAUAUCGGGAGGAACACCUGUGGCGAAAGCGACCUUCUGGGCUAUUUCUGACGCUGAGGCACGAGAGCGUGGGGAGCGAACCGGAUUAGAUACCCGGGUAGUCCACGCCCUAAACGAUGAGUGCUAGAUAU